AGCUUGCUGGGUGGAUUAGUGGCGAACGGGUGAGUAACACGUGAGUAACCUGCCCUUAACUCUGGGAUAAGCCUGGGAAACUGGGUCUAAUACCGGAUAGGAGCGCCUACCGCAUGGUGGGUGUUGGAAAGAUUUAUCGGUUUUGGAUGGACUCGCGGCCUAUCAGCUUGUUGGUGAGGUAAUGGCUCACCAAGGCGACGACGGGUAGCCGGCCUGAGAGGGUGACCGGCCACACUGGGACUGAGACACGGCCCAGACUCCUACGGGAGGCAGCAGUGGGGAAUAUUGCACAAUGGGCGCAAGCCUGAUGCAGCGACGCCGCGUGAGGGAUGACGGCCUUCGGGUUGUAAACCUCUUUCAGUAGGGAAGAAGCGAAAGUGACGGUACCUGCAGAAGAAGCACCGGCUAACUACGUGCCAGCAGCCGCGGUAAUACGUAGGGUGCGAGCGUUAUCCGGAAUUAUUGGGCGUAAAGAGCUCGUAGGCGGUUUGUCGCGUCUGUCGUGAAAGUCCGGGGCUUAACCCCGGAUCUGCGGUGGGUACGGGCAGACUAGAGUGCAGUAGGGGAGACUGGAAUUCCUGGUGUAGCGGUGGAAUGCGCAGAUAUCAGGAGGAACACCGAUGGCGAAGGCAGGUCUCUGGGCUGUAACUGACGCUGAGGAGCGAAAGCAUGGGGAGCGAACAGGAUUAGAUACCCUGGUAGUCCAUGCCGUAAACGUUGGGCACUAGGUGUGGGGACCAUUCCACGGUU
rnacentral:rRNA from 1 species